rnacentral:rRNA from 1 species
CCUACGGGUGGCAGCAGUCGAGAAUUUUUCUCAAUGGGGGAAACCCUGAAGGAGCGACGCCGCGUGGGGGAUGAAGGACUUCGGUUCGUAAACCCCUGUCACCUGGGAACAAUUCCUGCAACCUAACACGUUGCAGGUUGAUAGUACCAGGAGAGGAAGGCACGGCUAACUCUGUGCCAGCAGCCGCGGUAAUACAGAGGUGCCAAGCGUUGUUCGGAUUUAUUGGGCGUAAAGGGUGCGUAGGUGGUCGUGCAAGUCGGGUGUGAAAUCCCGGA